rnacentral:sRNA from 1 species
GCAUUUCUUAACUGUUCAUAUUGAUUAUUACUUCCUAACAUAUGACGUGGCGGCUGGCCUGUCGGCGCACUCAAGGCAAGCAGGAGUGUAACGUUUGCGUUUCUUCUUUCACUUAUAGGCGCGAUGUCAGCUUGGGGUGUCGAUCAAAUCGAAUGAUUGAAGUCCUCAAUCGUCAACGAAAGUCUGGCAAUCGUGGACGCUUUUUUUCCAGGAUAGAUUUACACAGCCGUUCAGUCAGUAUUCAACCAAGUCAAGCACAUACGUAACUUCGACCCACUACUGGUGUGAUCGACAGUCUUCGAAUCUUGCCAUUAAUGCACAGAGCUGCGUGCUCUCCGGAAAGUCGAUCGUACGUAUGUAACAUAUGUGUGGUAGUACAAGCUGUGCUACUGCUUUAACUAUCCCAGUAUUUUCCUAGGCUCGCAAACGAUGACGAUAAAUCUGUAUAUGGAUACAAUGCGCUCUGACCGAUGGCAACGCCGCUCUGUGAUCCUGUCGGUCGCUGUGGGUCGACGGUUUCUUGCUAAGUAUCCUCUCGAGGGAUUCCUUUUACAAACCUUUAGACCCGGAUUCGGUUGGGAGAUCGUAGUCGACUUUGCCAAAGUUAAUCCCUCGUAUUGUAUGCCUUUACUAGUCUUGAGGUUGUAUUAACUGCCCCCCUACUGCUUGAUGAUCUUGUAACCACAAGUCGUGAUGAUAUUCAAGCCCGCUUUUCCCAUUCACAGUGUCACAGCUUUAUCACUCUUCACAGCUCUUUAAUGCGAAGGCGUUGAUACCAUACUGGCUCAUCCUUUGGCAGGUGCAAUAGAAACUGAACUGAUGCUGCGGUGAAGAUGGAUAUACAGUAACAGAUUUGGAUAAAAAGACGGUAGCGGACAGAGGAGCUGUCUCCUGGUGAACAAGCAAAUUCCAGUUAGAUGCUCAGAUUUUUCCUAAUACUCUCAUCAGCAAGGGCAAACGACAUUGGACGACAUUCA